ensembl:lncRNA novel transcript, antisense to CAMK1D
AGAAAGGGAACAGCAGCUGAGCUGAGCAGCACAUGCUUGGAGCGUUCCUGCCAUCGACUUCGGAUUAUUUCUGCUUUCUUGAGACACAGCCAUCAGCAUGGGACUCGAUGCAGCCCGGAGAGAGCACCGCCCGCGCAGCGACGCGCACAGACCCUCCCUUGGAGACGCGCUCCCCGGCGCGUGCGGCCGAGCCCGCGUGAAAUGCACAGACCCUCCGGUGAGGCUCUGCCCACGUGUGACCCUGAGCACUGCGAAGCCCUUCCCUUCCAUCCUCGCGUGGCCACCCAAAGUCUUGCCUACACCUCGUACGUGCAGAUGCCAAUUCCAUAGAAAUACAUGAUGUAAGGACAGAAAUGGGAA